UACGAAGGGGACUAGCGUUGUUCGGAAUUACUGGGCGUAAAGCGCACGUAGGCGGAUUGCUAAGUCAGGGGUGAAAUCCCGGGGCUCAACCUCGGAACUGCCUUUGAUGACUGACAAUCUCGAGUCCGAUAGAGGUGGGUGGAAUUCCUAGUGUAGAGGUGAAAUUCGUAGAUAUUAGGAAGAACACCGGUGGCGAAGGCGGCCCACUGGAUCGGUACUGACGCUGAGGUGCGAAAGCGUGGGGAGCAAACAGG
rnacentral:rRNA from 1 species